rnacentral:rRNA from 1 species
ACAGAAUAAGCACCGGCUAACUCUGUGCCAGCAGCCGCGGUAAUACAGAGGGUGCAAGCGUUAAUCGGAAUUACUGGGCGUAAAGCGCGCGUAGGUGGUUCGUUAAGUUGGAUGUGAAAUCCCCGGGCUCAACCUGGGAACUGCAUUCAAAACUGUCGAGCUAGAGUAUGGUAGAGGGUGGUGGAAUUUCCUGUGUAGCGGUGAAAUGCGUAGAUAUAGGAAGGAACACCAGUGGCGAAGGCGACCACCUGGACUGAUACUGACACUGAGGUGCGAAAGCGCGGGGAGCAAACAGGAUUAGAUACCCUGGUAGUCCACGCCGUAAACGAUGUCAACUAGCCGUUGGGAGCCUUGAGCUCUUAGUGGCGCAGCUAACGCAUUAAGUUGACCGCCUGGGGAGUACGGCCGCAAGGUUAAAACUCAAAUGAAUUGACGGGGGCCCGCACAAGCGGUGGAGCAUGUGGUUUAAUUCGAAGCAACGCGAAGAACCUUACCAGGCCUUGACAUCCAAUGAACUUUCCAGAGAUGGAUUGGUGCCUUCGGGAACAUUGAGACAGGUGCUGCAUGGCUGUCGUCAGCUCG